rnacentral:rRNA from 1 species
GUCGAGAAUCAUUCACAAUGGGGGAAACCCUGAUGGUGCGACGCCGCGUGGAGGAUAAGGUCUUCGGAUUGUAAACUCCUGUCAUGCGAGAGCAAGGUUUUGUGGGUAACUCUGCAGAAUUUGAUAGUAUCGCAAGAGGAAGAGACGGCUAACUCUGUGCCAGCAGCCGCGGUAAUACAGAGGUCUCAAGCGUUGUUCGGAAUCACUGGGCGUAAAGGGUGCGUAGGCGGCGUGGAAAGUCAGAUGUGAAAUCCGGGGGCUCAACCUCCGAAUAGCAUCCGAUACUACCAUGCUAGAGAACUGGAGGGGAGUCUGGAAUUCUCGGUGUAGCAGUGAAAUGCAUAGAUAUCGAGAGGAACACCAGUGGCGAAGGCGAGACUCUGGACAGUAUCUGACGCUGAGGCACGAAGGCCAGGGUAGCGAACGGGAUUAGAAACCCUAGUAGUCC